AGCUCCAAUAGCGUAUAUUAAAGUUGUUGCAGUUAAAAAGCUCGUAGUUGGAUUUCUGGCAGGGGUUGAGAGCCCGCACGCAGCGUGUGCUUUAUAACCCCUACCAUCCUUCUGUUAAACUGUCGGGUCUUCACCGACCCGGCAGCGGCUCAGAUAAUUUACCUUGAGAAAAUUAGAGUGUUUCAGGCAGGCCGACGCCGGGAUACAUUAGCAUGGAAUAAUAGAAUAGGACUGUCGCCUCUUCUGUUGGUCUGAGGGGUGGCCGUAAUGAUUAAUAGGGAUAGUUGGGGGCAUUAGUACUUAACUGUCAGAGGUGAAAUUCUCGGAUUUGUUAAAGACUAACUUAUGCGAAAGCAUUUGCCAAGGAUGUUUUCAUUAAUCAAGAACGAAAGU
rnacentral:rRNA from 1 species